ensembl:snoRNA
UUCUUUUUGUGGUUCAUAAGCAUGAUGAUUGGUUUUACAUGUCUGUGUGAGAUGUGCCUCCCUGUAAACCUUGUUACAAUGUCAACACAGUACCCAUCUUAUG